GCCUUCGUGGUGUAGUGGUCAGCACGCUCGACGCGUAACCGAGAGCUUCGUGGUUCGAUUCCAGUCGAAGACG
rfam:Stegodyphus mimosarum contig84141, whole genome shotgun sequence.